UACGGGGGGUGCAAGCGUUGUCCGGAUUUAUUGGGUUUAAAGGGUGCGUAGGUGGCUUGUUAAGUCCGGGGUGAAAGCCCACAGCUCAACUGUGGAACUGCCCUGGAUACUGGCGAGCUUGAGUCCAGACGAGGUUGGCGGAAUGGAUGCUGUAGCGGUGAAAUGCAUAGAUAGCAUCCAGAACCCCGAUUGCGUAGGCAGCUGACUAGGCUGGUACUGACACUGAGGCACGAAAGCGUGGGGAGCGAACAGG
rnacentral:rRNA from 1 species